UUACGGCCAUAUAGCGUUGAAACACCGGUUCCUGUACGAUUACCGAAGUUAAACAACAUCGAGCCUGGUCAGUACUUAGAUGGUUUACAUCUUAGGAAUACUAGGAGUUGUAAG